GCGCAUCGGUCCGUUUCGUGUGAUGAUGGCGCGAAGGCGAGCGCGGACUGAGGAAGCCGGUGUGAAUCCGGCGCGGUCCCGCCACUGUGAUCGGCGAGCGGAUCCCCACCACGCCACCGCCCCUGCCCGGGGUGGGAAGGCGGGGACGAGCAGCGACCCGAGAGCCAGGAGACUCACGCGGUCGCCUCCUCGACGA
rnacentral:ncRNA from 14 species